UACGAAGGGGGGCUAGCGUUGUUCGGAAUUACUGGGCGUAAAGCGCACGUAGGCGGAUACUUAAGUCAGGGGGUGAAAUUUCGGGGCUCAACCCCGAACUUGCAGUGGGUACGGGCAGACUAGAGUGUGGUAGGGGAGACUGGAAUUCCUGGUGUAGCGGUGAAAUGCGCAGAUAUCAGGAAGAACACCCGUGGCGAAGGCGGUUCUCUGGGACGGUACUGACGCUGAGACGCGAAAGCGUGGGGAGCGAACAGG
rnacentral:rRNA from 1 species